UACGUAGGUGGCAAGCGUUGUCCGGAUUUACUGGGCGUAAAGGGCGUGCAGGCGGUUUGUUUAGUCCAGGGUGAAAGCUCCCGGCUCAACCGGGGGAGGGCCUUGGAUACUGGCAGACUUGAGGGAGGUAGAGGAGAGUGGAAUUCCCGGUGUAGUGGUGAUAUGCGUAGAUAUCGGGAGGAACACCAGUGGCGAAGGCGGCUCUCUGGGCCUUACCUGACGCUGAGACGCGAAAGCGUGGGGAGCGAACCGG
rnacentral:rRNA from 1 species